ACAAAACACGUGCAAGCCGUCAUACUGUUCACAUCUAGAACAAACGUCUAUUUACAGUAAAUCCACCAGAACACAAAAGAAGAUAUUUUGAAGAAUGUUGUCAAAAAGGGUUGAAAUGACAAGAGGGUUUUGCUGCAGAUGUUGUUCAAAUGGACAAAUCUCUCACUUGUAAGACGCAUUGGAUACAUCAUCACGGAUGAUUUCAGCAAGUUUAACAGGUGUCUGUCAUUAUUUACUCACCCUCAG